rnacentral:rRNA from 1 species
AGUCUAUUCACAAUUGUGGACAGGACAAUGUGGUGUUCAGGUGUGUACCUGGGAACGCUUGCCUACUCGAAGUCCAUCUCCGAUUAUGGCUUGGACUAUGCCCACAGCGGGUGAAAGGCCCGUGCGGGUAGGCUUGUGAUUGUUAAAGCGUUCCUUAGAUGUGCAUGCUUUCGAGUCGGAUUGCUUGAGAAUGCAGUCCAAAGUGGGUGGUAAACUCCAUCCAAGGCUAAAUACUGGCACGAGUCCGAUAGUAGACAAGUACCGUGAGGGAAAGUUGAAAAGUACUCUGAAGAGAGAGUAAAUAGCACGUGAAGCCGCUUGCAGGGAAGCUGGUGGAGUCAAGCUUCUUGUCUGGAGAAUUGUCAUCAGAGGAAUGUUGUCUCGGAACGUGGAGCUGGUGAACCUGGAAACGGUUUGGUGCACCCAAAUGCAUUUCAAGUCAUUCCGGGAAGAGUGAUUGUACUGGCUCCUAUCUUCCACCUCUGGUGCUUUAUUCUCCAUGACAUACAUCACGGUCAAUAGUGGAUAGAACACGUACUGCAUGAGUGCUUAACCGUGCUUUGGUGGAUUUAACCGUCUGCUGGGCAUGGAAUGGCAGAAGGCAUGUGUAGGCCUCGGCUUAUACUAUGCGUAUUGUGGUUUCGACCUGCUAGUGCUCAUGUUUAGUAUCGGCC